AAUCCCAAAUUUCCCAAGUUGAAACCUAUCAUUCAAUCUGAUGGUAUAUUCAAAGCAGGAAUCGCAUCAAGCUUACUCAUUCAACCAAUAUCAAGUUAUUCAUGCAUUACGGUAAAAGUAGAAACACCGAUUCAAUAUUGAGCGAAUAACAAACAUGUCAGAGAUUUCAGCAUGAAAUGAGUAAAUGUGGAAGAAGAAAUACCGACGGAAGGAAAUCUGAAGCUUUCGACUUCUUGAACUCCGCUGACUCUUCGAGCGAAAAUCUCUCCAAGUCCCCGUGGCUUCAGCUCAGUUUUCUCAAAGUUCUAAUGAUGAACUUUGAGCGAACUUUGGGAGUAUUGAGCUUUGGUGAAUGGGUGUGAGGGAAAUCUCAGCAGAGUAACGGUGCCAGGAUUAGGUUACUUUUCCGAUGACUCUCACCAUCUAUCUAUAGAGCCUUCUCCUAGGAUCCUCAAAUCAUGAGCUGUCAAAUCUAUCCAAAAUCAUUCCGUUAGAGAGGAAUUUUUCGCUAGAUUUUGUGGGGACCAAAGGUUUUGGUUAACUGAUGCGAAGAGGAGAAGUUACCACUGAUGUACUGCAGGAUAUUGCCAUGAAUUCACACAUUGAUGUAACGUGAUGCUAUUGCACUCUCAUUAAGCUGUUACGCAGUCCAUGCCGGUCUGUUGUGGAUUUGUUGGUUCGGCAAGGCUCCUGUAACUCCAUCUCGGCAGGUUUAUUCGUACUGGAAUUGUUCCUUAUUGUUGGUUAUGUCUGUCCGCACGAUAAUGAUGUCUCUACUUGAUUACAACUUGUUUUGCUACCAGUGAACCGGUUUCUUUCAGGAAGGGUAAGAUGAAUCAACUAUGGCCCUUCUAGUUUUCUUUUUCAAUCUCUAAUAACCUGUAUCAUAAUUUAUUCCUUUUCUGCAAUUUCAGAAUUUGAAGCUUGGGAAUUAAUAUGACCAACUUCUGCUUGCGAUUUCUUGUGACCUGCUUCGAUGUGCCAUUGACAUUUUAGCUUGGUAUAACUAACAACUUUGAUCUAUUUAUCCUGCAUGGAAUCCGGUACAAUAUGCUUAUCACUAUAACCUUGCUCUCACUUAUUCAUGAUUUUACUUCUGAUCAAACUGCUGUGGUACCAUUCAGGCAUUGCAAAACUUGUGUCCUGCAUGUUCUUUGGCUCAUUUGUGAUAUGCAAGUUGCAGCUGGCCUACUGGCGGGUCUA